GCCGCGGUAAUACGAAGGGGGCGAGCGUUGUUCGGAAUCACUGGGCUUAAAGCGUGCGUAGGCGGAUAAAAAAGUCAGAAGUGAAAGCCCAGGGCUCAACCCUGGAACUGCUUUUGAAACUGCUUAUCUAGAAUCCAGCAGAGGUUAGCGGAAUUCCGAGUGUAGAGGUGAAAUUCGCAGAUAUUCGGAGGAACACCAGUGGCGAAGGCGGCUAACUGGGCUGGUAUUGACGCUGAGGCACGAAAGCGUGGGGAGCAAACAGGAUUAGAUACCCUGGUAGUCCACGCCGUAAACGAUGUGAGCUAGUUGUCGGGUCCAUAGGGCUCGGUGACACAGAGAAAUCAUUAAGCUCACCGCCUGGGGAGUACGGCCGCAAGGUUAAAACUCAAAGGAAUUGACGGGGACCCGCACAAGCGGUGGAGCAUGUUGUUUAAUUCGAAGCAACGCGAAGAACCUUACCUACCCUUGACAUCCUGAUCGCGGAGUUUGUAAUGAACUCCUUCAGUUCGGCUGGAUCAGUGACAGGUGUUGCAUGGCUGUCGUCAGCUCGUGUCGUGAGAUGUUGGGUUAAGUCCCGCAACGAGCGCAACCCUUAUCGUAUGUUGCCAUCAUUUAGUUGGGCACUCGUGCGAGACUGCCGGUGACAAGCCGGAGGAAGGCGGGGACGACGUCAAGUCAUCAUGGCCCUUACGGGUAGGGCUACAAACGUGCUACAAUGGCUGUGACAGUGGGCAGCGAGGUCGCGAGGCCAAGCUAAUCUCUAAAAACAGUCUCAGUUCGGAUUGUUCUCUGCAACUCGAGAGCAUGAAGUUGGAAUCGCUAGUAAUCGUGGAUCAGCAUGCCACGGUGAUACGUUCCCG
rnacentral:rRNA from 1 species